CCCUGAUUAGCUCAUUUGGAGCGCUCCACUUGUAAUGGAGAGGUCCCGGGUUCGAUACCCGGACCAGGCG
rnacentral:tRNA from 1 species